rnacentral:piRNA from 1 species
UAAAAUGGUCCUCUUGGGAGGAGAGUAGA